AUAUAUAUAAGCAGAGAGGGGAGGGAGGAGUUAAUUAGCCAUUGUAGGCAAGAUUUCAGAGGGAGAGCGACAAGUUUAGCUGUUGCGCCAAGUUUAAUGUUCACGAGUUCGUAGGUGUUGAAUUCUCCGGUAAGGUGUCAGAUGCAUCUAGUGGACAACAAGCUUCAAAAGAAAAUGAAUAGGUCCUGUUUUGCGAUCUUGAUGGUGUUUGGACAGCUAGAUAAGCAAUCCAGUUCUACUGUUUGUAAUUCUGUAUGGUUCCUGUUUUUGGCAAACAAUUUUGUUACCCACGUUCCUAGUUGAUCUUUCUAUUGGGAUCUUUGGAACUUGGGUUGGUGGAGUUUUGGAACUUCUUUGUACAUGGAGCUAGAUACCAGACUUGCUGCCUUGCAAUUGUAAUGAUUAAUUUGAACAUUUGACUAGGUGGUGUUAGUUAUGCUAUUUUUAUUUUUUGAAUUGUAGGUAUACAGGAAAGAUUCCAAUUCAUGGUGAUGCUUCUGCCAAAGCCACUUUAUAUAGGGAUAGAUUUCUCUUGCUGCUCUAGAGGCUUUCUCGUGAUCUGCAUUUUUCUAAGCCUGCAUUUGAUACUGAAAGGUCUCAGUUUGGCAGCUCUGAGGUAACUCGUCUCUCUAUCUUGCACAUAAACAUAUCAAGAUUGGAGACACAUGUUAAUUAAACACAAAGUGUGCUUAUUUAUGUGUAUAUGUUGGGCAUAUAUCUCCAAUUUAGAGUCUCAUUAGGCUAACAGGGAGAAGAUGGGUCAUGGGCGUUAUAUCUCAGUUAGAGGAUGGCCAUUUCUACUUGGACCGUCGCAAAAAAUCUUUUGCGACUGUUUUUUUUUAUUAUUUGCGACAGCUUGUAGCAGUCACAAAAAGUACUCUUUUUUUUUUUUAAUAUUAUUUGUGAGGUCUUCCAAGUAGAAAUGGCCAUCCUCUAAUUGAGAUAUAACGCCCAUGACCCAUCUUCUCCCUAUUAGCCUAAUGAGACUCUAAAUUGGAGAUAUAUGCCCAACAUAUACACAUAAAUAAGCACACUUUGUUUAAUUAACAUAUGUGUCUCCAAUCUUGAUAUGUUUAUGUGCAAGACAGAGAGACGGGUUGCCUCACAGCUGCCGAACUGAGACCUUUCAGUAUCAAAUGCAGGCUUAGAAAAA